GUCGAGAAUCUUUCACAAUGGGGGCAACCCUGAUGGAGCGACGCCGCGUGGAGGAUAAGGUCUUCGGAUUGUAAACUCCUGUCAUGCGUGAACAAGGUUGCUUGGUUAAUACCUGGGCAAAUUGAUGGUAACGCAAGAGGAAGAGACGGCUAACUCUGUGCCAGCAGCCGCGGUAAUACAGAGGUCUUAAGCGUUGUUCGGAAUCACUGGGCGUAAAGGGUGCGUAGGUGGCGUGGUAAGUCAGAUGUGAAAGCCCGGGGCUCAACCGCGGAACUGCAUCCGAGACUGCCAUGCUAGAGUACUGGAGAGGUGACUAGAAUUCUCGGUGUAGCAGUGAAAUGCGUAGAUAUCGAGAGGAAUACCAAAGGCGUAGGCAGGUCACUGGACAGUUACUGACACUGAGGCACGAAGGCCAGGGGAGCGAACGGGAUUAGAAACCCUUGUAGUCC
rnacentral:rRNA from 1 species